UACGUAGGGUGCGAGCGUUGUCCGGAAUUAUUGGGCGUAAAGGGCUCGUAGGUGGUUUGUCGCGUUGUUCGUGAAAACUCACAGCUUAACUGUGGGCGUGCGGGCGAUACGGGCAGACUGGAGUACUGCAGGGGAGACUGGAAUUCCUGGUGUAGCGGUGGAAUGCGCAGAUAUCAGGAGGAACACCGGUGGCGAAGGCGGGUCUCUGGGCCGAUAUCGACGCUGAGGAGCGAAAGCGUGGGGAGCGAACAGG
rnacentral:rRNA from 1 species